rnacentral:rRNA from 1 species
CCCUUAGAUGUUCUGGGCCGCACGCGCGCUACACUGAUGCAUUCAACAAGCCUAGCCUUGACCGAGAGGUCCGGGUAAUCUUUGAAACUGCAUCGUGAUGGGGCUAGAUUAUUGCAAUUAUUAAUCUUCAACGAGGAAUGCCUAGUGAGCGUGAUUCAUCAAAUCGCGUUGAUUACGUCCCUGCCCUUUGUACACACCGCCCGUCGCUCCUACCGAUUGAAUGUGUUGGUGAGGAGCUCGGAUUGGCAGCAGUUGGUGGUUCGCCACCGGCUAUUGCUGAGAAGUCCUCCAAACCGCCCCAUUUAGAGGAAGGAGAAGUCGUAACA